UAGGGAAUCUUCGGCAAUGGACGAAAGUCUGACCGAGCAACGCCGCGUGAGUGAAGAAGGUUUUCGGAUCGUAAAACUCUGUUGUUAGAGAAGAACAAGGACGUUAGUAACUGAACGUCCCCUGACGGUAUCUAACCAGAAAGCCACGGCUAACUACGUGCCAGCAGCCGCGGUAAUACGUAGGUGGCAAGCGUUGUCCGGAUUUAUUGGGCGUAAAGCGAGCGCAGGAGGUUUCUUAAGUCUGAUGUGAAAGCCCCCGGCUCAACCGGGGAGGGUCAUUGGAAACUGGGAGACUUGAGUGCAGAAGAGGAGAGUGGAAUUCCAUGUGUAGCGGUGAAAUGCGUAGAUAUAUGGAGGAACACCAGUGGCGAAGGCGGCUCUCUGGUCUGUAACUGACGCUGAGGCUCGAAAGCGUGGGGAGCAAACAGG
rnacentral:rRNA from 1 species